rnacentral:rRNA from 1 species
GAUGAACGCUGGCGGCGUGCCUAAUACAUGCAAGUCGAGCGAACAGACGAGGAGCUUGCUCCUCUGACGUUAGCGGCGGACGGGUGAGUAACACGUGGAUAACCUACCUAUAAGACGGGGAUAACUUCGGGAAACCGGAGCUAAUACCGGAUAAUAUAUUGAACCGCAUCGUUCAAUAGUGAAAGACGGUUUUGCUGUCACUUAUAGAUGGAUCCUCGCCGCAUUAGCUAGUUGGUAAGGUAACGGCUUACCAAGGCAACGAUGCGUAGCCGACCUGAGAGGGUGAUCGGCCACACUGGAACUGAGACACGGUCCAGACUCCUACGGGAGGAGGAAGAAGGGAAUCUUCCGCAAUGGGCGAAGGCCUGACGGGGCACGGCCGCGUGAGUAAUGAAGGUUUUCGGAUCGUAAAACUCUGUUAUUAGGGAAGAACAAAUGUGUAAGUAACUAUGCACGUCUUGACGGUACCUAAUCAGAAAGCCACGGCUAACUACGUG